rnacentral:rRNA from 1 species
GUGCACCAGGCGAGAAACUUCACACUGUGCGAAAGCACGAUGAGGGAAUCCCAAGUGCUUGCACGUAAGUGUAAGCUGUUUCUCUGUCUAAAACGCAGAGAGAGUAAGGGCUGGGUAAGACGGGUGCCAGCCGCCGCGGUAAUACCUGCAGCUCAAGUGGUGACCGUUAUUAUUGGGCCUAAAACGUCCGUAGCCGGUUUAAUAAAUGCCUGGGUAAAUUGUGUAGCUUAACUAUACGAAUUCCGGGUAGACUGUUAAACUUGAGACCGGGAGAAGUUAGAGGUACUCCUGGGGUAGAGGUGAAAUUCUGUAAUCCUAGGGGGACCACCGGUAGCGAAGGCGUCUGACCAGACCGGGUCCGACGGUGAGGACGAAGGCUAGGGGCGCGAAUCGGAUUA